UGAUAACUGAGAAGACCAUAUCCAUUGAAGAGAAAGCUACCAACAUGGAAGACAUGCUGAAGGAGGAGGAGAAAAAUUUGAAGGAAGUGGAGGUUCAAUUGAACAUAGUAAAAGGUGUGCUAUUUAAGAAAGUCCAAGAGUUACAGAGUGCGAUAACAAAAGAGAAAGCUCUGGGAUCAGAAAUUGAAGGAACCCGUUCUUCCUUGAAACAUCUUAACCAACGGUUACACAAACUGGACUUUGAAACCCUGAAGCAGCAGGAAAUUAUGUACAGUCAGGUAGAUGCUCCUCUCUGUGAAUAACUUCUGUAGGACUUUAAUGCCUCUGGUAGUUGAGCUAUUCCAGUGAAUGAAGAGUUCUAA
rnacentral:lncRNA from 1 species